rnacentral:lncRNA from 1 species
AUGGAGCUUGUGAUAGGCAAGCAAUUUCUUUUGGUGGGGCCACUAAACCAAGUCGCCGCCGCCGCCGCCGCCGCCGCCGUGGCCGAAGCCACCGAUGCCUUCAAAUUGAUAGACAACUCAGUAACCAACAACUAUCUACCAGAAGGCAACAAACAUAGAACUAUGGCCACAAGGGUGAAUGUUUUUGGACAUGGUAUCCACUCAACAGAAAACCAAGGAUUUUAUUCAGAAGGGAUUCAGGUGCAUUCGAGUGUCCAGAAAAUUUCUGCUCUUGUACUGAACCGUGAAUUAAGUAUGGAUUUUAGCAAAGAUAUUGCAGCUCCAAUGAAAUAUGCUCUACAA